rnacentral:rRNA from 1 species
UACGAAGGGGGCUAGCGUUGCUCGGAAUCACUGGGCGUAAAGCGCACGUAGGCGGAUUGUUAAGUCGGGGGUGAAAUCCUGGAGCUCAACUCCAGAACUGCCUUCGAUACUGGCGAUCUUGAGUCCGGGAGAGGUGAGUGGAACUGCGAGUGUAGAGGUGAAAUUCGUAGAUAUUCGCAAGAACACCAGUGGCGAAGGCGGCUCACUGGCCCGGUACUGACGCUGAGGUGCGAAAGCUAGGGGAGCGAACGGG